AUUGAACGCUGGCGGCAUGCCUUACACAUGCAAGUCGAACGGUAACAGGUCUUCGGAUGCUGACGAGUGGCGAACGGGUGAGUAAUACAUCGGAACGUGCCUAGUAGUGGGGGAUAACUACUCGAAAGAGUGGCUAAUACCGCAUACGACCUGAGGGUGAAAGGGGGGGAUCGCAAGACCUCUCGCUAUUGGAGCGGCCGAUAUCAGAUUAGCUAGUUGGUGGGGUAAAGGCCUACCAAGGCAACGAUCUGUAGUUGGUCUGAGAGGACGACCAGGCGCACUGGGACUGAGACACGGCCCAGACUCCUACGGGAGGCAGCAGUGGGGAAUUUUGGACAAUGGGCGCAAGCCUGAUCCAGCAAUGCCGCGUGCAGGAAGAAGGCCUUCGGGUUGUAAACUGCUUUUGUCAGGGAAGAAAUCUUCUGGGCUAAUACCCCGGGAGGAUGACGGUACCUGAAGAAUAAGCACCGGCUAACUACGUGCCAGCCGCCGCAGUAA
rnacentral:rRNA from 1 species